rnacentral:rRNA from 1 species
UACAGAGGUCUCAAGCGUUGUUCGGAUUCAUUGGGCGUAAAGGGUGCGUAGGCGGCGCGGUAAGUCGGGUGUGAAAUCUCGGAGCUUAACUCCGAAACUGCAUUCGAUACUGCCGUGCUUGAGGACUGGAGAGGAGACUGGAAUUUACGGUGUAGCGGUGAAAUGCGUAGAUAUCGUAAGGAAGACCAGUGGCGAAGGCGGUUCUCUGGGCCUGUACUGACGCUGAGGAACGAAAGCGUGGGGAGCGAACAGG